AGCAGUCGCCACGGGAAUACGUAGGUGGCAAGCGUUGUCCGGAAUUAUUGGGCGUAAAGGGCUCGCAGGCGGUUUCUUAAGUCUGAUGUGAAAGCCCCCGGCUCAACCGGGGAGGGUCAUUGGAAACUGGGAGACUUGAGUGCAGAAGAGGAGAGUGGAAUUCCACGUGUAGCGGUGAAAUGCGUAGAGAUGUGGAGGAACACCAGUGGCGAAGGCGACUCUCUGGUCUGUAACUGACGCUGAGGAGCGAAAGCGUGGGGAGCGAACAGGAUUAGAGACCCCUGUAGUCCCUGUCUCUUAUAC
rnacentral:rRNA from 1 species